rnacentral:rRNA from 1 species
GUGAGUAGAAUAUUGAAAUAUAACGUGUGAGUUAUGAAUUGGCAUGAGAAGAGGUAUUAGGUAAAGAAUAGGUUAUUAUUGUUAACUUUAUUGUGAUGAUAAAUAGUGAUAUAGAGCGGAUUACGUCCGGUACUUUUUGCAUCAUGGUUUGUAGAGAGUAUUCAAUUGGUUGGGUUCCCGAAAGUCAUAGAUCUAUUCUGGCUAAAAUGGGUUUAUAACAAUGUUUGUGUAUCAACUCCACUCGAAUGUUGGAAAAUUGUUUGAGAAGGUUGGGAUAGGGCGAAAAGCUAUUCGUGAUGGCUGAUAGCUGGUUAAGGAGGAAAUGCAUCUGAGUGCAGGCUUUUCUUUCGUCUUUUUUAUUAGUAAAUUGGAUGGGGUGUUCGGCUGAUGUGCGUGGGGGUUAGCUCGUGCACGGUGCGGUGUAGGAUGAAGUACUAAGUAGGAUUUAAACUGUCUCCCUUUGUGACUCUUAUUUAAGGUAAAUGCAAUUAAUGAAUAAUAAGUUAGGUAUUCCUUUAGUUUAGUUAAUUAGGCUGAUUUGGAUUAGUAUAAAAUGAGUAGAAGAGGUGGGAAGAAUAGUAAUUUAUCAAUUUGUCAAAUCCCAAUUUUUGUGGGUUCGGCAGAUGAAGUUAUAACUAUAAUUUUGAGAUUUGUUUUGGAUAUACUUCUAAUGAACUCGGCAAAUUUUUUCUGCACCUGUUUAUUAAAAACAUGGCUUCCUGAGGUUCGUUAAUAGGAGGUCAGGCCUGCCCGGUGGAGAGUUUCUAAACGGUCGCAGCUUUUACUGUGCUAAGGUAGCGUAAUAGGUCGUCCUUUAAUUGGGGAAAAGUAUGAAUGGUCAGAUGGUGGAAAUACUUUAUUAGAUGUAAUUCUUUGAAAUUUACUUUCAGUGUGCAAAGGCCUGAAUAUAUUUAUUAGACGAGAAGACCCUGUUGAGCUUAGUAAGGCGUGUUCGUUUAGGUUGCGCUGUACGUUUGUUCGGGGCCGAGAGGAAGGGAAGGAAAUUCCUUCUUAGUAAGAUGAGGAUCCAGCAUGGCUGACAAGAAAAAGAUAGUUACCACAGGGAUAACAGCGCAAUCUCUCUGUCAAGAUCUAAUUUGAGGAGGGGUUUGCGACCUCGAUGUUGAAUCAGAAUUUCUACUAGGGUGUAGCAGCUUAGUAAGUGGGACUGUUCGUCCUUUGAAAUUUUACGUGAUUUGAGUUUAGACCGGCGUGAGCUAGGUCGGUUUCUAUCUGUAGUUUGGAAAAUCCUAGUACGAAAGGAUCGGGUUUUUUAGUCUGUACUAUAAUGUUUUACGUGGGUUGAGUUUGGAAGCUUGCUGUAAUUUAUUAUUCGGCGAUGGAUGGCAGAAAAUG